rnacentral:sRNA from 1 species
GCCAGGUGUGGUGGCGCACACCUGUAAUCCCAGCAACUCAGGAGGCUGAGGCAAGAGGAUCAAGAGUUCAAAGCAAGCCUCAG